GAUUCCCUACCUUGCUCGUGCCCACGGAGAGAAUUUUUGAGCCAACACUCACCGUGAGGGAGUCCGGGUUUAGGGAUGAUGCGUCAUUCCUAACAGGACACCCACUUAGGCAAGGGGCUUCAAAAGUUUCCUUCCGGACGACAGGGUGGGGAAUUU
rnacentral:other from 1 species